rnacentral:rRNA from 1 species
GACGAACGCUGGCGGCGUGCUUAACACAUGCAAGUCGAACGAAGAGCGAUGGAAGCUUGCUUCUAUCAAUCUUAGUGGCGAACGGGUGAGUAACGCGUAAUAAACUGCCCCUUCGAGGGGGAACACCAGUGGAAAAGGACGCUUAUAACGCAUAACGUCCUAAUCCCGGAACGGAGGAAAGAGGAAGGGUGGCCCCUACAGGUAGCCAAUAACGGAGGAGGGGGUUUGCGUCUGAUUGGCUAGUUGGGGGGGUAACGGCCCACCAAGGCGAUGAUCAGUAGCCGGUCUGAGAGGAUGAACGGCCACAUUGGGACUGAGACACGGCCCAGACUCCUACGGGAGGCAGCAGUGGGGAAUCUUCCGCAAUGGACGAAAGUCUGACGGAGCAACGCCGCGUGAGUGAUGACGGCCUUCGGGUUGUAAAGCUCUGUUAAUCGGGACGAAAGGCCUUCUUGCGAAUAGUGAGAAGGAUUGACGGUACCGGAAUAGAAAGCCACGGCUAACUACGUG